UGUCACGUCUUUGAAAUGUGCAGAGCAGCAGUUAUCACAGGAACAUAUAUCAUAUUAUCAUUAUAUUGUUCUUCUUUCUUUACAGCACACUUCAUUCCAAAAUAUAUCCCAAGACCUUUUUAUGUUUACAAGAAAUGGCCAGUACCAAUUGUUAAAAAGGUACCAAUGUUUAAAACUGUAGUUGUUAAAGAAAAAGUUCCAGUACCAAAACCAUUCCCUGUGUAUGUACCAAAAGAAGUCAUCAGAUAUGUAACAAAAGAAGUUGAAGUACCUAGACCUCAUCUUGUUAAAGUACCACAACCCUUCCCAGUUGUUCAAACCAAAGUUGUAGAAAAAAUUGUACCAAAGGAAGUAGGAGUACCUUUCGCAGUACCACAAGCAGUUCCAGUUCCAGACCCAGUACCAGUUUUUCCUCAGACAGUGAACACUGCUCCUGUAGAUUUGGGUACACAAGUUAUUGGUAAGUGUUUCUGUAUAACUGUAGAUUUGGGUACACAAGUUAUUGAACAAGGAUUUGGUGGUCACCAAGGUGGAGGUGGAGGUGGUGGUCAUGGAGCUGGAGGCGGCGGACAAUGGGAUCAGGGACUAGGAGGCGGAGCUGGUGGACAAUGGGGUCAGGGAUUAGGAGGCGGAGCUGGCGGACAAUGGGAUCAGGGACUAGGAGGCGGAGCUGGCGGACAUUGGGAUCAGGGACUAGGAGGCGGAGCUGGCGGACAAUGGGAUCAGGGAUUAGGAGCAGGUGGACAGGAUUUUGGACCAAAAAGGGGUGAUAUGGGGUCAGUUAAUUUUGGACCUGAUCCAUUUGCCCAAGGAGGUGGAGCUGACUUUUUGGGAGCAGGUGGAGCUGGUGGAAUUGUUCCACAAUGGGGAGUUUGAGCAGGAGUUGGUGGAACAAUUAAACAAGAUUUAUGGGGACUAAACCCAGUUCUUGAUGGCGGACUAAAUUCUCUUGCUGGUGGUAAAAAGGUGUAAGACGCACAUGAAGAAUUUCAUCACAAGACCGUUACAAUCUCAAAUUCAUUGUUUAAUUUUAAUAAAUUGGUUAAAAUGAU